rnacentral:rRNA from 1 species
GACGAACGCUGGCGGCGUGCUUAACACAUGCAAGUCGAACGGAAAGGCCCUGCUUUUGUGGGGUGCUCGAGUGGCGAACGGGUGAGUAACACGUGAGUAACCUGCCCUUGACUUUGGGAUAACUUCAGGAAACUGGGGCUAAUACCGGAUAGGAGCUCCUGCUGCAUGGUGGGGGUUGGAAAGUUUCGGCGGUUGGGGAUGGACUCGCGGCUUAUCAGCUUGUUGGUGGGGUAGUGGCUUACCAAGGCUUUGACGGGUAGCCGGCCUGAGAGGGUGACCGGCCACAUUGGGACUGAGAUACGGCACAGACUCCUACGGGAGGAAGAAGUGGGGAAUAUUGAACAAUGGGCGGAAGCCUGAUGCAGCAACGCCGCGUGCGGGAUGACGGCCUUCGGGUUGUAAACCGCUUUCGCCUGUGACGAAGCGUGAGUGACGGUAAUGGGUAAAGAAGCACCGGCUAACUACGUG